GGUGUCAUUUUUUGGAAGUGACACCAUAUGAAAUAAAAAGUUUUAAAUUUUAUUACUUAAUGGGCCCUUUUUAAAAAUAGUGAGUAGGAACAAUUUAUGAAAAGUCCAUUGUUUCCAUAUAUACAUUAACUAAUAUAAAAGAUCUUAUUGCUUAACCCUAACCAUCGUUUUCUUCUCCUUCUUCUCACACCCAUGGUCGGCACACCCAUAAUUGAUAUUCUUUGCUUCGUAAAAUCUCGGGUAUACACUCUUGGGAGGACAAUAUGAAGAAUAAAAAGAAAGGAGAAAGAGGCAACAAGAUUUAGGUUUUUAGAUAUGACUCUUAUGUCAUACAUUAUAGGACAUAAAUGUUACUUUAUUUGGAAUUGAGAAUUUUGGGUUUUUGGAUGCAACUCUUGUGUCAUUUUAUGGUUAACCGGUUUUAUGCAUAUGAAAUGCAAGUAUACAUGAAUGUUGGGAAGCUUAACAUUUCUAAAUCAUGUUUUAAUGUGUAUUCACUUUUCUUUUUUA